UAACGAGAAAGGCAAAACAGGUGAAAACCUGUGUCGCAAAACUAUAGGGUCUAAGUAAUGGGCGUAACCAUCAUAGGACAGCCAGUUGCCACA
rnacentral:ncRNA from 1 species